rnacentral:rRNA from 1 species
GAUGAACGCUGGCGGCGUGCUUAAUACAUGCAAGUCGAACGGAGACAAUAGCAAUAUUGUCUUAGUGGCGAACGGGUGAGUAACGCGUUGGUGACCUGCCCCGAAGAGGGGGAUAACAGUCCGAAAGGAUUGCUAAUACCCCAUGUGGUCAUAUGGAUUAGAUGCCUAAUGACUAAACGGAUUUAUUCGCUUCGGGAGGGGCCUGCGUCCCAUCAGCUAGUUGGUAAGGUAAUGGCUUACCAAGGCGAUGACGGGUAGGGGACCUGAGAGGGUGGCCCCCCACAAUGGAACUGAAACACGGUCCAUACACCUACGGGUGGCAGCAGUAGGGAAUAUUGGUAAUCUGGGAAACCGGGAACCAGCAACGCCGCGUGCACGAUGAAGGCCUUCGGGUCGUAAAGUGCUUUUUGAAGGGAUGAGGAAGGACAGUACCUUCAGAAUAAGCCUCGGCUAACUACGUGCCAGCAGCGCGGUAAACUAGUCUACG